UACAGAGGGUGCGAGCGUUAAUCGGAAUUACUGGGCGUAAAGCGUGCGUAGACGGUAGCGUAAGUCAGAUGUGAAAGCCCCGGGCUCAACCUGGGAAUGGCAUUUGAGACUGCUCUGCUCGGGUGCGGAAGAGGGAAGCGGAAUUUCCGGUGGUAGCGGUGAAAUGCGUAGAGUAUCGGAAGGAACACCAGUGGCGAAAGCGGCUCCUGGUCCGACACCGGACGUCAGGCCACGAAAGCGUGGGGAGCAAACAGGAUAGAA
rnacentral:rRNA from 1 species